AGUGAACGCUGGCGGUAGGCCUAACACAUGCAAGUCGAACGGCAGCACAGUAAGAGCUUGCUCUUACGGGUGGCGAGUGGCGGACGGGUGAGGAAUACAUCGGAAUCUACUUUUUCGUGGGGGAUAACGUAGGGAAACUUCCGCUAAUACCGCAUACGACCUACGGGUGAAAGCAGGGGAUCUUCGGGCCUUGCGCGAUUGAAUGAGCCGAUGUCGGAUUAGCUAGUUGGCGGGGUAAAGGCCCACCAAGGCGACGAUCCGUAGCUGGUCUGAGAGGAUGAUCGGCCACACUGGAACUGAGAUACGGUCCAGACUCCUACGGGAGGCAGCAGUGGGGAAUAUUGGACAAUGGGCGCAAGCCUGAUCCAGCCAUACCGCGUGGGUGAAGAAGGCCUUCGGGUUGUAAAGCCCUUUUGUUGGGAAAGAAAAGCAGCAGGUUAAUACCCCGCUGUUCUGACGGGACCCAAAGAAUAAGCACCGGCUAACUUCGUGC
rnacentral:rRNA from 1 species